rnacentral:tRNA from 1 species
GGGCCUAUGGUGAAGCGGUAUCACGCAUCCAUGGCAUGGAUGAAGUCGGGGUUCGACUCCCCGUAGGUCCACAA